rnacentral:rRNA from 1 species
CCCGCACAAGCGGUGGAGCAUGUGGUUUAAUUCGAAGCAACGCGAAGAACCUUACCAGGCCUUGACAUGCAGAGAACUUUCCAGAGAUGGAUUGGUGCCUUCGGGAACUCUGACACAGGUGCUGCAUGGCUGUCGUCAGCUCGCGUCGUGAGAUGUUGGGUUAAGUCCCGCAACGAGCGCAACCCUUAUCAUUAGUUGCUACGCAAGGGCACUCUAAUGAGACUGCCGGUGACAAACCGGAGGAAGGUGGGGAUGACGUCAAGUCCUCAUGGCCCUUAUGGGUAGGGCUUCACACGUCAUACAAUGGUCGGUACAGAGGGUUGCCAAGCCGCGAGGUGGAGCCAAUCCCAGAAAGCCGAUCGUAGUCCGGAUUGUUCUCUGCAACUCGAGAGCAUGAAGUCGGAAUCGCUAGUAAUCGCGGAUCAGCAUGUCGCGGUGAAUACGUUCCCGGGUCUU